UCUUACUGUCUUAAAAACUCAGAUUCUUUCAUUGAAAUGGCAUUAAGUAAACUUAAGACAAUGCUACAUGGAUUAGAGACUACCUAUAGUGCACCCAACUUGCAGGAUGUCAUUUAGUAUGCGUGUAUUCUUAACCCAACUUGCAGCCUAAUGGCUUUUUAAAGUCAAAACUUCCAUAGUCCUUUUGCAGUAUGAUUUUUGAGGCAUAUGGAGACAGAAUCUGAGCCAAUAUAUUUUAUUCCAAAUGAGGCUCUUUGAUUUCUCACAUGCUUUUGAAAUGUGAUGUUUGUCUACCCUGGAAAACUCUGCCGUUUCAACUCUCUGGAAAGCUAGGAAAGGUUUUGAAUAAUUGUAUCAUGGGUAGUUUUUGGAUUCCACUACUUGUGGGCUACUUCUGCUGGAUAAAUGUGUUGCCUACAUACAGUAUUCUCUUAACCCUGCUUCUCAAAAUCCUAUAUUUUCUGUUGUCAAGUCAAGAAUUACAAAGCCACACUUUGGCAUGGAGAAUACUACUCUACAGUUACUCAUCCUUAAUGACCUGUAGUACAGAAAAGUGAAAACAUUGUGGAGGAGAUAAAUUACCAAAAUAGAAGAUAAGCUGAAAAGGCAAUGGAAAAUAUAUCAUACAUAUCAAAGUUGCUCAUUUAUGCUAUUUUGCCAUAACAAUGCAUACAACUGAAGCACUUCCCUUCUCCAUUGGAGUUUUGUCUCUAGAGGUAUUAAAUAUUAAUCUUAUAAAGAAAAGAAAGCAAAAAAAAAAAACCCUGAACACAUGUUAAUAGGUUAGGGUUUUAAGAGCAAAUCACAAAAGCAGAAUAAGUACUUGGAGGAAAAAAACAGGAAGAGAGAGAAAGAGGGAGAGAGAGAGAGAGGUGGGGUAAAUUGUGGACCCUCCUUUUAAAGAAACAAAAUUUUCCACAGAGUUGCAUUAAUACUUAAAUUGGACUAACUCCAUGUGAAUCCUCGUAAGAAAUACUAUUUCCUUUCAAUUAACUCAUCUAUCCUACAAUUACAUGUCAUGAAAUCUAAAGGCAAAUAUGUUUACCCAGUAAGGGAAUAACAUUCGAGGCAAAAGUGAUGUCACAAACAGAUGGGAAUUCCAAGUAAUACUGAGUCAUGGUUCUAGGGGAAUAAAACAAUUACUUUACAGCUCAGUGCAAUGUAGUAUUUAAAGAAAAGGUAUUUCAAUAGAAUAGCCCAGACAAUUAUUCAACAUUUAACAGAGAUUAUAUUAGUCUAGAUAUGUUAAUUUGGAUUUUAUUCUGUUUUUUAUUUAUGUUAAUAGGUUUGGUUACUGGUUUAAAGAAAUAUUAGAAGUUUAUCUUUUAUUUUUACAAAUAGAUUAACAUUUGUCUUAGAGGGAGUUCUGCCCUUCAUGGAUAAUACCUUUACCUGCUAAAUCUAGAUUUCUUUUUCUAUAGUAAGUUUUAAACCAGUAAUUGAUGUAAAAAGAUGCAACAAAUAAAAUUAUAGCUACUAAUGGGCAUGUAUUUAUUAUACAGUAGGCAAUUUGCAGAAAGUUUUAUGUAUAUUAUUUUUAUUAAUCUUUAUGACAUUGGAAUUCCAUCAGGUAGGCAUUUUGAUUCCCAAGUAAACUAAAGAGAAGAAAACUGAGGCUUAAAGAGGGUAAGUGAUUUGCCAAGGGUCACAGAACAAGUAAGAGGUACAGCUGGAUUCAAAUUUAAGUAUAUCUUGUCCUCAAGUCUUUCCUCUUUAUUUCCUACUAAAACUAAAAAGGGUAAUGGCACAGCAGCUAAUCAUAUUUGAUGUAUUAAAACAUAAAUACUGGUGUCAAAUAUAAGUACUAAAUCAGGCAUCAGUUCCUUCCUACUAAAAACAUUAAAAAACAAUUCAGCAAAAAUUCGUACUCUGCAGGAUCAUAGAGUGCUUUGAUACCCUCAUCUACAGCAGUGUUUCUCAACCUUUUUAUUCAUUGUUGCUCUCCUAAGGGACCUUCUUAGACAUUUUUUUCAUACUUGUCUCCCAAGAAAUUUUAAUACUAUAGAUAUACCAUAUAUCUAUGUACCAUAUGUAUAUCUGUGCUCAUACAUAAAAAGAAUAAGUUUUUGCUCCUUAGAAUAAUUUUUUUGCCCUUUGGGAGCAAUGAAUAUGUAUGAUUUAGAUAUUAUACCUCUAUGUUUCUCCAAAACCUUUCAAGUCACUCUUAUUGCUUACAAUUGUAUGGGCUUAGAGCUUUAGAUUUUUAGCUUAAAGUUUUUCAGUGUGUUAAAAUGCAAAUAUAUAGAAAACGUUGAUGAACCACAACAAGCCAUUUGUAUCCUGGUGUAAAAUAGAAGCUCAGAAAGCCAGUUUGAUAAGGGAAAGGAGAAGAAUGGGAGGUCACUCUGUAUUGGGGCAGGGAAGGGGAAGAGCGGAGAGCCUCUGGUGUUGAAAUGCCUGCGUCACAACUGUACUUCAGUCCAGUCCCGUUGAACAUAUUAACACAAGUAUUUGAAGAAAAGAUGCUAGCUCCUAUUCAUGAUGAACAAGAAAACUUAGUCAUAAGCCACCUUAGUGGCCAUCACCCUAUUAUUGUGUAAAUAUUAGGUUUCCUGCUUGUAAAGAAUUUGCUGUUUGGUUCCUUUCAGGCCUGUUUGCGUGUUCCCAACUGCUAUGUGGCCAAGAAUAAUGAAAUGAUGGAAAACUCAAGUCUGCAAACCUUAAAUUUUCAAUCAAAGGGAGGAAACCUUGGGCAAAUGAAGAGGUCAUGGAUAUGAUAUGAAAAUAUUUUAUGAUUUUGCAUGUGAGAAGCUACUGCAUAGAUGAAUUCAACUGCAGGAUCCCUUUUAAAAAAUAUGUAUCUUCAAGAUUGAGUGUGAGCCUUCACAAACUCCUCCUUGUAUCUUAAGUCUGCUGGAGUACUGGCCUGACUCCACUCACUCACUGUGUACUUCGUUUGAAACUAACAAACAAUACAGUGACUGUCAGUAGAUGUUGCCUCCUCAGUCUACAGAGCCAACAAAAAUUAUGGAAAAUGUCAUCAGAUUUCCAUGACAACAUCACGCUGUAUAAUCAACAUGGUUCGAACUAGUCACAUCUUUGCACAACUGGACACAUCAAAAUAAUUGUAUUAUGUCAUCAGUGAUGCCACCAGACAGAGCACCAGCUCCCUUCCUACACUGGAUAGCAGACGUUCAAAUAACGCAAUGUACUGAAGAACUAAUACAGUUUAGACACCAGAGGUCUCACAAGUUAAACCCUCUAUAUAAUACAGAGCCCUCCUGAGAAUCAACUUAAGGUGAAAUGUUUUAAAGAAGAGAUAAUGGUGGUGGUGUGGUGGUACAUGUUGAGCAACCAGCUCUCUGGAGCAACUGAAAAAUACUUCUAAUCUGGCAAAUUCAGCGAGAAGACUGAGUUCCUUAAUUUCUGUCAGCACCAGUGAAAAACUGUCCUAAACUGACCCUGGCUUACAGAUGUACCACUGGAUCUUGGACUAAAUGGUAAUGGUAAUCAUUCUGAGCUUCCAUUAAAAUUCUAAGCCUUCUUCCAUUUUAUUUCUUAUUAACAGCUAUUAUUGUUGUUGUUGUUGUUGUUGUUGUUGUUGUUGUUGUUAUUAUAGCAAAGAAGAACAGCAGAAUGGUUGGUGGAGAUUCCUAUGCUUUCGACCCAUGGCGGGGUCACUAAGUCAGGUGAAUCACCUCCCACCCCUAAAGAUUCCCACCCAGUUAUGCCUUCUAAUGUGCUGUUCACAGUUUAUCAACUGAUUCUGAAAUUCUGAGACUUAACAGUUUUAAACUGA
rnacentral:lncRNA from 1 species